UCGGGAUAAGUUAGCGGCGGACGGGUGAGUAACACGUAGGUAACCUGCCUAUAAGAUCGGGAUAACUAUCGGAAACGAUAGCUAAGACCGGAUAAUUGGUUUUCUCGCAUGAGAGAAUUAUGAAACACGGAGCAAUCUGUGGCUUAUAGAUGGGCCUGCGGCGCAUUAGCUAGUUGGUAGGGUAACGGCCUACCAAGGCGACGAUGCGUAGCCGACCUGAGAGGGUGAACGGCCACACUGGGACUGAGACACGGCCCAGACUCCUACGGGAGGCAGCAGUAGGGAAUCUUCCGCAAUGGACGCAAGUCUGACGGAGCAACGCCGCGUGAGUGAUGAAGGUUUUCGGAUCGUAAAGCUCUGUUGCCCUAGACGAACAGCAAGAGGAGUAACUGCCUUUUGUGUGACGGUAUAGGAGAAGAAAGCCCCGGCUAACUACGUGCCAGCAGCCGCGGUAAUACGUAGGGGGCAAGCGUUGUCCGGAAUUAUUGGGCGUAAAGCGCGCGCAGGCGGUCAAUUAAGUUGGGUGUUUAAGCCCGGGGCUCAACCCCGGUUCGCAUCCAAAACUGGUUGACUUGAGUGUAGGAGAGGAAAGUGGAAUUCCACGUGUAGCGGUGAAAUGCGUAGAGAUGUGGAGGAACACCAGUGGCGAAGGCGACUUUCUGGCCUAUAACUGACGCUGAGGCGCGAAAGCGUGGGGAGCAAACAGGAUUAGAUACCCUGGUAGUCCACGCCGUAAACGAUGCAUACUAGGUGUUGGGGAUUCGAUUCCUCGGUGCCGAAGUUAACACAGUAAGUAUGCCGCCUGGGGAGUACGCUCGCAAGAGUGAAACUCAAAGGAAUUGAC
rnacentral:rRNA from 1 species